rnacentral:rRNA from 1 species
ACGUGGCGGCGAGCUUACACAUGCAAGUCGAACGGAAAGGCCCUGCUUUUGUGGGGUGCUCGAGUGGCGAACGGGUGAGUAACACGUGAGUAACCUGCCCUUGACUUUGGGAUAACUUCAGGAAACUGGGGCUAAUACCGGAUAGGAGCUCCUGCCGCAUGGUGGGGGUUGGAAAGUUUCGGCGGUUGGGGAUGGACUCGCGGCUUAUCAGCUUGUUGGUGGGGUAGUGGCUUACCAAGGCUUUGACGGGUAGCCGGCCUGAGAGGGUGACCGGCCACAUUGGGACUGAGAUACGGCCCAAACUCCUACGGGAGGCAGCAGUGGGGAAUAUUGCACAAUGGGCGGAAGCCUGAUGCAGCAACGCCGCGUGCGGGAUGACGGCCUUCGGGUUGUAAACCGCUUUCGCCUGUGACGAAGCGUGAGUGACGGUAAUGGGUAAAGAAGCACCGGCUAACUACGUGCCAGCAGCCGCGGUGAUACGUAGGGUGCGAGCGUUGUCCGGAUUUAUUGGGCGUAAAGGGCUCGUAGGUGGUUGAUCGCGUCGGAAGUGUAAUCUUGGGGCUUAACCCUGAGCGUGCUUUCGAUACGGGUUGACUUGAGGAAGGUAGGGGAGAAUGGAAUUCCUGGUGGAGCGGUGGAAUGCGCAGAUAUCAGGAGGAA